AAGUUUUGUUUUGUUUUAAUCACAGAUCAAGUGUACAAGCUGUUCAAGGUUCACUGAGAGCCUUACUGCAGCCACUUGCUGCCCCCACAGGACCUGGCAGGCAAGUGCCAGAGCACUGAGGAGUACAAUUAGUUCAUAUCACACGACAAGGACCAAUUCAGAGAAGGAACAAAGAUGGCUCACAAAUACACUGCCAGACCACACUGGCGUGGAGGGCUAGGAGUUUUUACACACUGUAACGGCGAGACAAGAUUACAGAAAGCCAAACGUUUGCUUUAGAGCAGAGGAAGGAAGGACAAAUUUCAUCUCACAAAAUGGUAAAGAGUACUGUACAGAAAACUGCUGGAAGUACACUUUUCCUGGGGAAAUCAAAUGAACAGGGAGCUUUGUUUUCUUUUUCUGACACCAUAAAAUAUGACAGUCACAGUUUAAAAAGAUCACGUAACACAAUCAAACCUUCUACCACUGUAAACAAAUAUAACACAGAAGCAUUCUGGGCAGGGAGUGAGCGCAGCAGAACCUAGCACACACAAGGCCCCUCGGAGCUUUGGGCUGACUGUAGGUAGAUCUGUGAACCUGGAUACACCCGCACUCCCCCCCCCCCAAGUGUAAACGCUUCUAGAGCAUCUGUGCAAGAAUCCUGCUGCCGUCUCCCCAGCCUUUGCGUAUUAGAGCCAGACAGCUUCCAGAGGUCAGUCUCAAGUGUGCUCAGAGCCCCGCCCGCUCGGUGUCAGGAGCGAUGGUGGCAGGAGGGGCAGGUGAGAGAGGGCUGGAGGGCAGUGUUCUCAGCCCUUCUGUGCUGCGGCCCUUAACGCACUUCCUCAUGCUGUUUUGGUUGCUACUUCAAAACCGUAACUUUGCUACUGUUAUGAAUCGUAAUGUAGAUAUUUUCGGAGCCAGAGGUUUGCAAACGGGCAGCGACCCACAGGUUGAGAACCAGUGCUGCAGGGCACUGUCACCUGUGUCAGCUGAGGGGCUAAGGUCAACGCCAGCCAGGGAGAGCCUGCAUCGGGAAUCUAUGCUGAGCUUUGACUGGAAGAUGUUGCAAUGAUGCCACAGGGGCGGACAGCAAAGGUCAGUUGUUAGCCAGCCAGGGAGAAAGCUUCCAAGCCGAGGACGCCCUUCCGAGCCGCUCUCACUCCUGCUGCCCAGGACAAUGGUCACAUGCUUGUACUCAUUCAUCCCGCAAGGCAGCCAGACAGGUCUGCUGCGACAGCGCCCGGCCCAGGCUUGUCACUGAGCAGUCAGAAGUGGCCGCAGUGAGGGCAGCAGUCCCGGGCUGAAGACUCCAGAGCUUCGCCUGGCCUCAGCAGGCUUCUCUCUGAGGCAGCAGCCUUGCCCUACCUUGCCGGGAGAGAACCUCACAGCCACAGUGACGCCUACCGACUUGGCAAAGGUUAGGUCCAGAGCUCGUGGGGGGGAGUCAUCUUGGACGUGAAACGGUGGCGGGUAAGAGGCAUGGUUUGGUGGAGGGCGCUUUCGGGGAGAGCACCCUUCUGGGCGCAGUCUCAUGACAGAGUCAGCUCACGAGCGCUGCUCUCUCGGAAGAGGAAGGCAGAGACUCCAUGACGGUGUGUACUUAAGAUUAAAUACUAUCGGGAGCGCCUCAUACUCCACAAAAGCUGCUGCCCUCGGGGCAAGGAGAAAGCCUGCUGCGCUCCACUCUGGAAACAGCUUCUUUAGGUGGCGGGCAAUGACUGGUGGGCAAUGGCCGGUGGGCAGACCAUCAUUUGCCCACAUCCACCUUAGCCCUACCCUUCUUACUUUCCACUGAGCAAUUAAAAGUGGAAAUAAACCCCUGAAUUUAGCAGGGUGGUGGCGGCAUACGCCUUUAAUCCUAGCACUUGGGAGGUGGAGGCAAAGGCAGCCAUAGCUCUGUGAGUUCGAGGCCAGCCUGGCCUACAGAGUGAGCUCCAGCUAGGGAGAAACCCUGUCUUGAAAAACGAGACAAAACCAAAGAAGCAAACAAAAACUCUGACCACACAGAAAGUAGCUGUCUCUAAUUAAUAAUAAAGGAUUAAUCACUAGUUGGAUUUUUCGUAAUUAAAGUAACUUGAAGGGGAAUCUAAAAGCACUUUAUAUUCCUUUCCACAUCCAGUGUCUCUUGAUAACAUUUGUAUGCCCGGAGCUACUAUAUCCUAAGUCACCUAUGAAAAACCUAACUGCAAUUCCUCAUAUUAAGAACAUAGUGUGAUUAAUACAUACAGAAUUUGCUCUCAAAAUCAUAAAAACAAGCUAUUAGCCAUUAGGCAGCUACUUAGGAACUUAGUGUUGAAAACAGCUCACGGGAAUUUUUUCAAAGUGCUCCAGCGUGAGACCCGCCCCCUGCCAAAACUAACCAUCUUGUGAGCACACAGGGAAAGCCGGGAGUGACAGUGCACACCGCAGUCUCAGCACUCAGGAGGUGGAGACAGAAGGACUGCUGUAAGUCUGAGCGCAGCCUGGGCUACACAGACGGGUACCCCUCCUGUGCCAUCCCAGGCCCCGGCGCCCUGCUCCCUUCACAUGGGACUCACCAAGUAGAACACGAAGCCCAGAUAAGCCACGCUCACCACUGCGGCCACCACGUACAGUGCCACGUGGCCGAGCUCCUGGACAUAAACCACGACAAAGUACAUGUUGAUGGAGCAGACGAUAAGGACCAGGAUGCCACCUGCGAUCCUCCAGCCUCUGCAAGAGGAAGGACUCAUGUGACGAAAUUCUCCACAUCAGGCCAGAUUGUGGGCACAUCUGUAGGGGCUGAUGUGGGAAGAACCGCCCAAGAUGGGAGGCACCAUCGCCUAGACUGCGCACCCUGACCCCUACAGGAAAGCCGCCGUCGGGCCUGAAGCAAACUUGCAGCAAGGAUGUGCGCAGCAAGGAUGUGCUCAUCACGGCUGCUCGCGGCUGUGACGGGAUCAGCUGCUUGCAUCUGCCUGACUUCUCCCCAGCUUCCCACCCUGGGCUGCUUGUUGGCAGGGUGUCUGUCAUGGCAGCAGAAACAAACAGCACACCCCACAGACCCUGUCAAGAUGUGCACAAGAUGCCACUAGCUGGUGCCUCUCCUGGACAUCUGAACACACAUUUUAAACUGCAGCGGCUGAUACUGCGGGGCUUUAGGUCUGAAGGAGUGUUUUCUCCUCCCUUCCCAUAACUCAACCUUUUCUUUCUAAGCCAAAGAGAAAGCAGACAGCAAUUGCUUCUAGAAAGAUGCGAAAUGUGGACACAUUUCCGAAUGCCUGCCCAGUAAAAACCCCCCUCCCAUGCCGCUCUGGAGAACGCUGACAAAGUACUCACAUUCCGUUGGAAAACUCACUCAUAACUGGCCGCAGGCUUGUGAACGUCAGGAUAGGUAUGAGGGCAAAGGGGAGCUGGAAAAGAGUCGAUUGGAUUAUGUGGGUGUAUCAGGUGGGAUUAUGUGGGUGCAUUAGUUCUAUCUUUUAAGCUGUGAUAAGACCCUAUGAUGAAACCUGGAGAGGAGAAGGGUAUUGGAGAGGGAUUAUCUGACUUACACCUCCAGGUCACAGGGUAUCACUGAGAAGUCAGGGCAGGACCUGGACAGAAACUGGAGGAAUGCUGCUUAUUGGCACUGGCCUGGCUCGAGUUCUCCCUCUCCCCCUCCACAUCAAUCGUGGAAACUAUUCUUCGGUUGAGGUUCUUGCUUCCCAGAGAGCACUGGCUACUGUACUGCCACAGCCAGCAGCGUGGUCCAUGAAAGCAAAUCAGAAGCCCUAUGUCACCUAUACAAUGGGUAACAGUUCUUCCCAUCACCUUGCCUUGGCCAAACAUUACCUUUAAUCCAGCACUAAUCACAAGUUUAAGUGCCUUUUUUUUUUUUUAAAACACAAAACCACAACACCCUGGAGGCUAGGGACGGCUCAGUGGUUAGGAACACUUUGCUUGGCUGUUCCUGCAGAGGAACCAGGUCCAGUUCCCAGCGCCCACACAGCAGCUCACAACUGUCUGUAAUGCCAGUUCCAGGGGAUCUGAUGCCCUCUUCUCAACUCUUCAGGUUCCAGGCAUACACAUAGUGCUCAUAUAUACAUGAAGGUAAAACACUAAUACACAUAAAUGAAAAUAAAUAACAUUUUGGAUGUGACUUAA